GGAGGAGGGGCGGGGAAUCCCACCCUGCGGGGCGGGGAUGGCGCCGCGUCACUGCGUGGGGCCGCCCACACAGAGGGGGGGGAGGACGGGGGGGGGAGCGGCGAUGGGACCCAUAAGUGUGGGGCGGGGGGUGCCCGAAUGGCUGCCCGUAAAGGCGCAGCGAAGCGCGGAACUGUGGGGCAAAAAGGUCCCCGAGUGGCCCCGGUGAGCCCACGGAGAGCCCCAUAAGUGUGGGGCGGGAGGAGCCCGGGUGGCGCACAUCAACCCACGGCAGAGCCCACAGGUGUGGGGCAGAAGGUCCCCAAGAGGCCCCCGUGAGCCCAUAGGAAACCCCACAAGUGUGGGGCAGCAGCUCUCCAAGUGACCCCCGUGAGCCCAUAUGGAACCCCACAGAUGUGGGGCAGAAGAUCUCCAAUUGACCCCAGCGGGCUCACGGUGAACCCCACAAGUGUGGGGCAGAAGGUCCCCAAGAGACCCCCGUGAGCCCAUAGGAAACCCCACAAGUGUGGGGCAGCAGCUCUCCAAGUGACCCCCAUAAACCCAUGGCAAACCCCAUAAAUGUGGGGCAGAGCAUCUCCAACAGACCCCCACGAACCCACAGCAAUCUCCAUAAGUGUGGGGCAGAAGGUCCCCAGGUGACCCCCGUGAGCCCAUAUGGAACCCCACAGAUGUGGGGCAGAACAUCUCCAACAGACCCCCAUCAACCCACAGCAAACCCCACAAGUGUGGGGCAGAAGGUCCCCAAGAGACCCCCGUGAGCCCAUAGGAAACCCCACAAGUGUGGGGCAGCAGCUCUCCAAGUGACCCCCAUAAACCCAUGGCAAACCCCAUAAAUGUGGGGCAGAGCAUCUCCAACAGACCCCCACGAACCCACAGCAAUCUCCAUAAGUGUGGGGCAGAAGGUCCCCAGGUGACCCCCGUGAGCCCAUAUGGAACCCCACAGAUGUGGGGCAGAACAUCUCCAACAGACCCCCAUCAACCCACAGCAAACCCCACAAGUGUGGGGCAGAAGGUCCCCAAGAGACCCCCGUGAGCCCAUAGGAAACCCCACAAGUGUGGGGCAGCAGCUCUCCAAGUGACCCCCAUAAACCCAUGGCAAACCCCAUAAAUGUGGGGCAGAGCAUCUCCAACAGACCCCCACGAACCCACAGCAAUCCCCAUAAGUGUGGGGCAGAAGGUCCCCAGGUGACCCCCGUGAGCCCAUAUGGAACCCCACAGAUGUGGGGCAGAACAUCUCCAACAGACCCCCAUCAACCCACAGCAAACCCCACAAGUGUGGGGCAGAAGGUCCCCAGGUGACCCCCGUGAGCCCAUAUGGAACCCCACAGAUGUGGGGCAGAACAUCUCCAACAGACCCCCAUCAACCCACAGCAAACCCCACAAGUGUGGGGCAGAAGGUCCCCAGGUGACCCCUAUGAGCCCACAUGGAACCCCACAGAUGUGGGGCAGAAGAUCUCCAAUUGACCCCAGUGGGCUCACGGUGAACCCCAUAAGUGUGGGGCAGGCGGUCCCCAAGUGAUCCCCCAUAUCCUGCCCAGUACCCCCCAGUAUCCCACCCCCAUAUCUCCCAGUAUCCUCCAAUAUCUUCCAGUAUCCCCCACUAUCCCCCAAUAUCUCCCAGUAUCCCCCAGUUUCCCUCAUUAUCUCCCAGUACCCCCCAGUAUCCCCCAGUAUCCCUCAUUAUCUCCCAGUAUCUCCCAGUAUCCCCCAGUAUCCCCCAUUAUCUCCCAGUAUCCCACCCCAGUAUCUCUCAAUAUCUCCCAAUAUCUCCCAGUAUCCCACCCCAGUAUCUCCCAGUAUCCCCCAAUAUCUUCCAGUAUCCCCCAGUACCCUCAAUAUCUCCCAGUAUCCCACCCCAAUAUCCCCAGUAUCCCCCAGUAUCUCCCAAUAUCUCCCAUAUCUCCCAAUAUCUCCCAGUAUCCCACCCCAGUACCCCCCAGUACCCCGCAGUACCCCCCAUUAUCUCCCAGUACCCCCCAGUAUCCCCCAUUAUCUCCCAGUACCCCCAGUACCCCCCAGUAUCC
ensembl:lncRNA